CGUGUCGGCAUAAUAUUACAUCUCAGAUUGGUUUUGGCAUAAUAUCUCCAGAUUCAAGGUUAGUAUACCAGUUAUUAAGUUAUAUAUUGAUGUGAUUGAUUAAUAUUGUUGUUUACGCAGCAGUAAAGUUGUGGUGUUGAUAGAUUAAUAUUGUUGCAAAGAAGGUUCAAUGGCUAAUUGGUGAUUGGAAGUUGACGAGAUAUCUCAGGCACGCUGCCUUCGAAGGAAUACUAGAGAGCUCAAUUAUUUAACGAGAUUGAGAUCGACGAUUGUAUAAUCUGGUCUGUAGUCAAGAAUGUCUUGGGGAAGUCCAGUUCUACUCUUUAUUCUAUUGCACUGCUAGCUUCUGGCCAGAGUUCAACCAUUACUGGAAUAUAUGCAGGACAAUUUAUUAUGCAGGGUUUCUUGGAUUUAAAGAUGAGGAAAUGGCUCAGAAACUUGAUAACAAGAUAUUAUGACACAGCACGAUCUUACUGGCAGUUUAAUAGA